rnacentral:rRNA from 1 species
AUUGAACGCUGGCGGCAGGCCUAACACAUGCAAGUCGAACGGUAACAGGAAGAAGCUUGCUUCUUUGCUGACGAGUGGCGGACGGGUGAGUAAUGUCUGGGAAACUGCCUGAUGGAGGGGGAUAACUACUGGAAACGGUAGCUAGUACCGCAUAACGUCGCAAGACCAAAAAGGGGGACCUUCGGGCCUCUUGCCAUCGGAUGUGCCCAGAUGGGAUUAGCUAGUAGGUGGGGUAACGGCUCACCUAGGCGACGAUCCCUAGCUGGUCUGAGAGGAUGACCAGCCACACUGGAACUGAGACACGGUCCAGACUCCUACGGGAGGCAGCAGUGGGGAAUAUUGCACAAUGGGCGCAAGUCUGAUGCAGCCAUGCCGCGUGUAUGAAGAAGGCCUUCGGGUUGUAAAGUACUUUCAGCGGGGAGGAAGGGAGUAAAGUUAAUACCUUUGCUCAUUGACGUUACCCGCAGAAGAAGCACCGGCUAACUCCGUG